CGUCGCUAUGACUGGUGAGAGCCCCAGGC
rnacentral:piRNA from 1 species